rnacentral:lncRNA from 1 species
UUUACUCUACUUUCCUUAACAAUGUUUGUUUAUGUGUUUAUGUACUUGGCAGACGCUUUUGUCCAAAGCAAAUACCGUAUUUUCCGCACUGUAAGGCGCACCGGAGUAUAAACCGCAGCAGCUAAAUUGAAUGAUGUGUACAUAUAUAAGACGCACUGGACUAUAAGCCGCAGGUGUUUUAAUGUUUAAUUACCAUUAGGGCUGGCCCGAAUGCCAUUUUUCAGGCUUCGGAUACUCGUUGGUUUUUCCGAGCGAUUAAUCGAAUACUCGUUCCAGAAAAAAACACCACCAAAAAUAACAUUAAUAAUCCCUAUAUACUCCCUGGAACCGAUUAUGACAGUAUCUGCAUAUUUUGUUGAAGAUUUAAUAGCUUUUUACCGUUAAUUAGUAGGCCUAAGUAGGUUGAAGUUCCUUAGUUUUUCCCUGUGGAAGCGAACAGCUGUUGUUCCGUUCCGAAUCAAGUGUGUGUGUGUGUGUGUGUGUGUGUGUGUGUGUGUGUGUGUGUGUGUGUGUGUGUGUGUGUGUGUGUGUGUGUGUGUGUGUGUCAAUAUGUGAUGCUCACCUAGUCCUCUUAUUUUGAGUAAUGAAAUGCAGCCCUUUUUUCAGGAAUGUAUGGACAAACUGAACCUCAGGAACUUGGUGUCUAUUUCAAUGGAUGGGCCCAAUGUGAAUUGGAAACUCUUCGACCUUUUCCAGAAAGAUCAAGCUGAGCAGUACGGAGGUGAGGAGUUUAUAAUGCUAUUACUGUGUGUGUGGGUGUGUGUUUCUGAUCCAUUAGUAAUUAUAAAAAUGUAUUUUAUUUGUAGUGCACUUAACAUUGAAUAAACACUUUCAAAGUUCUAAUUUGGUUUCUAAUAUCAAGUUUGCAUUGAAACCUUUAGGUCUUCAGCUCGUUUGUGUGGGAAGCUGUGGCCUACACACGCUACACAACUCCUUCAAGUGUGGGUUCACUGUAUGGCAGCUGGACAAAUUGCUGAGAGCAAUGCACACAUUGUUUCACAAUACGCCUGCCAGGAGAGAGGAUUACAUCACCGUAACCAAGUCCAGUGUGUUCCCUCUAUCUUUCUGUGCCCAUCGUUGGGUAGAAAACCUUCCGGUUGUGGAGAGAGCCCUGGCAGUCUGGCCAUCACUUCUCCUGUACAUGGAAGCUGUGAAAACAAAGAGACUCCCGAACCCUGGAACAGCAUCAUAUGACACACUUGCAGCAGCCAUAAAGGAUCCACUCGUCUUGGCCAAAUUGCAGUUCUACGCAGCAAUUGCCAGGACCUUCAAUCCCUUCCUGAAAAAAUAUCAGACGGAUGAGCCUGUGCUCCCAUUCCUCCCCAAGGACCUGACCGAGUUGAUGAUGAGUCUACUCAGACGCUUCAUAAAAAGAGAAGUACUACACGAUAUCACUGCCCUGCAGCUGACCAAACUGGAUGUCACAGACAAGACCAUCUGGCUCAGCCCACAAGACAUCAGCAUUGGUCUAGGUGCAGAGUCAGUCCUUAAGAGAAUCAAAGGUGCAGAACUCAGGGUGCUCGAGUUCAAGAGAGAGUGCAUGCAGGGACUGAGUAACAUGAUCAAGAAAGUGCAGGACAAGAGCCCCCUCAAGUAUCUGACUGUUAGGCAGAUGGUGUGCCUGGAUCCGUCAGUAAUGUAUAGAGAACCAGAUAGAGGCAGGAAUCGCAUGAAAGGGCUGGUUCAAAGGUUUCUCCAGGACAAACAGCUUACUGAUACUUCUUUGGGUAAGAAUAAGGCAAAUUAUUUUGACAGUCUCCUGUCCUUGGAGAGCCGGAGUGAGGACUUCCUCUCCUUUCAACCCAUGCAAAAGAGGCUGGACAUCUUCCUGAGCAGCGCCAUGGAGCCUUAUCCCGAGCUGUGGGCCUUCUGCAAGAAGCUGCUCAUCCUCUCCCACGGUCAAGCUACAGUUGAGCGUGGAUUCUCAAUCAAUAAAGAGGUGGAGUCUGAUAACUUGGAGGAGGAUACUGUGGUCACACGGAGACUGGUGUGUGACUUCAUCAUACAACAUGGAGGUGUUACCAAGGUUCCACUCAGUAAACCGCUACUGGAAAGUGUAGCAAGGGCAAGGACAAGGUAUCGUACCCAUCUGGAGACCAAAAGAAGGAACAGGGAGGCAAAAGAGCAGGCUCUCAAGAGGAGGGAAGCAGAGGACUGUCUUGAGGAGCUGAAGGUUAAGAGGAGACGUGUACAGGAGGUAUCUGAGGGUCUGGCUAGGGAUGCGGACAAGAUGGCUGAGGAGGCUGAAGCGAAGGCAGGGAGCAAGAUGGCUGGCCUGAUCAUGUUGGGCAAAAUAACCUGCUGAGUACAUCACAUGUACAUUAUAAAUAUAGCUAACUCCUACCCUAGCUUAAUGAGCACAUCACAUGGCAGUCACCUUACAAUAUAGUCAACUUUUAACACAUAACACAUACAUGAGAAUAUAGUCAGGUCAAGGCCGGAGCCGAAGGCCCCAUUUCCCAGGCUGGCAGAUGGUAGACACUCAGACAAUGCACCAGUCAUCCUCAAGAACGGGAGGACCACAACAGGAGAUGCUCUGAAGCUCUCCCCCGUGAGGAGGAACACAAGAAGAUAUGCAUGCAUACACUAGUGCCUGGGAGCCAAGGUCAAGUAAAAACACACAGAACCACACACAUCUCAAACGCACACACCUCAUCACAAGGAGAUACAGCAUAAGACUGUAUCACUCUGGGACUCUUCACCUUCUUCUGAAGCAGACCUUCCACGGAGGCGAAGCUCCGGACGAACCAUCAGCGCUGAUUAGGGACUUAGACAUAUUCGAUUUCUCACGCUUAUGACUCUGUAUAACCGUUGCCACUUUACUUAAUAAAUCCAAGGUCCUCGUGCCGACAGACUUUAUUACCUCUCCGUCUCAUUUCAUCUGGUCCAGUAACUAGACAGACCGUUUUUCCCUUCACC